UUUGCAUUGUUAAAUAUGCUAGUCCUUUCAUGAUUAUGUGAUAGGUGGUGCAUGGCCGUUCUUAGUUCGUGGAGUGAUCUGUCUGCUUAAUUGCGUUUCAAAUUACUUAUAAGGUAGCAAUACGCGAUGAAGCUUUCAAUAGUCCUCACGGAUUCACUUGAGUCUCUCGCUUCGCUAUCCUUUCGAAUGCAACGAACGUGACCGCAACCUCUUGUUGCCUUCGUUUAACAUCCUGCAGCUCGCUGUGGGUACUGAGGGCUUCACUCAGUGACUUUGGGCUGAGCAAUCGGUCUUUUGAUCUGAGUAAACUAGAGGGACCGCUGUCAACUUCUUAAACCAGAGGAAGGUUGCGGCAAUAACAGGUCUGUGAUGCCCUUAGAUGUUCCGGGCUGCACACGUGCUACAAUGAUCGUAGCAGUGAGCAUCUUAUUUGAUUUACUUAACACCGCAUACGUGAGUACCAACUAGCUUAGCAAUAAGUCAAGUAGUUCUCUACGCAGCGGUAACAGCCUGCUUCGAGAGCAAGUGGGUAAUCAAUUAGAAGUAACGAUUUCUUCGCAUUAGCACAC
rnacentral:rRNA from 1 species